AGCAUCAUCGGGGAAGAUCUCAGACCAAGAGCUGGUCAGGGCAGUAGUUGACGUAGAGGAGUGACGCUGAGGUCCCCACCGUCUUCGGGCUGGAUUCCCUGUCCAAAGAGAAGAGGACCUGAGGGACUUUUUUCUUUAAAAAAAAAAAAAAAAAAAUUUUUCUUUCUUCCAUAUAUCAUUUCUGCCAGUGUUCCCUCUGUUUAUGUUGUUUUUAAAAUCUGCAAAUAAAAAAUUCACUCUGCA